GACGAACCGUGCGAACGUUGUUCGGAAUCACUGGGCUUAAAGGGCGCGUAGGCGGCAGAUCAAGUCCGGGGUGAAAUCCUCCAGCUCAACUGGAGAAGUGCCUUGGAUACUGAUGUGCUCGAGGGAGGUAGGGGUCCGCGGAACUUCUGGUGGAGCGGUGAAAUGCGUUGAUAUCGAGAGGAACACCUGCGGCGAAGGCGGGUUGCUGGGCCGACACUGACGCUGAGGCGCGAAAGCUAGGGGAGCGAACGGG
rnacentral:rRNA from 1 species